rnacentral:rRNA from 2 species
AAAUUGAAGAGUUUGAUCAUGGCUCAGAUUGAACGCUGGCGGCAGGCCUAACACAUGCAAGUCGAGCGGAAACGAGUUAUCUGAACCUUCGGGGAACGAUAACGGCGUCGAGCGGCGGACGGGUGAGUAAUGCCUAGGAAAUUGCCCUGAUGUGGGGGAUAACCAUUGGAAACGAUGGCUAAUACCGCAUGAUGCCUACGGGCCAAAGAGGGGGACCUUCGGGCCUCUCGCGUCAGGAUAUGCCUAGGUGGGAUUAGCUAGUUGGUGAGGUAAGGGCUCACCAAGGCGACGAUCCCUAGCUGGUCUGAGAGGAUGAUCAGCCACACUGGAACUGAGACACGGUCCAGACUCCUACGGGAGGCAGCAGUGGGGAAUAUUGCACAAUGGGCGCAAGCCUGAUGCAGCCAUGCCGCGUGUGUGAAGAAGGCCUUCGGGUUGUAAAGCACUUUCAG